UGGGGAAUCUUGCGCAAUGGGCGAAAGCCUGACGCAGCAACGCCGCGUGGGGGAUGAAGGCUCUCGGGUUGUAAACCCCUUUCAGGAAGGACGAAAUUGACGGUACUUCCAGAAGAAGCCCCGGCCAACUACGUGCCAGCAGCCGCGGUAACACGUAGGGGGCGAGCGUUGUCCGGAUUUAUUGGGCGUAAAGAGCUCGUAGGCGGCUCGAUUAGUCGGGUGUGAAAUUCCGAGGCUCAACCUCGGAACGCCACUCGAUACUGUCGUGGCUAGAGUCCGGUAGAGGAGCGUGGAAUUCCUGGUGUAGCGGUGAAAUGCGCAGAUAUCAGGAGGAACACCAGCGGCGAAGGCGGCGCUCUGGGCCGGUACUGACGCUGAGGAGCGAAAGCGUGGGGAGCAAACAGG
rnacentral:rRNA from 1 species